UUGAUCCUGGCUCAGAAUCAACGCUGGCGGCGUGCCUAACACAUGCAAGUCGAACGCGGUUAGUAGCAAUACUAACUGAGUGGCGAACGGGUGAGUAACUCGUGGGUGACCUACCUUCGAGUGGGGGAUAACGUCCCGAAAGGGACGCUUAUACCGCAUGACAUCCUCUUUUUGAACAGAGAGAGAUCAAAGCCGGGGAUCGCAAGACCCGGCGCUUGAUGAGGGGCCCGCGUCUGAUUAGCUAGUUGGUGGGGUAACGGCUCACCAAGGCGACGAUCAGUAUCCGGCCUGAGAGGGCGUACGGACACACUGGGACUGAGACACGGCCCAGACUCCUACGGGAGGCAGCUGUGGGGAAUUGUUCACAAUGGGCGCAAGCCUGAUGACGCAACGCCGCGUUGAGGAUGAAGGUCUUCGGAUCGUAAACUCCUGUUGCUCGGGAAGAACAGUUCCGACCUAAUACGUCGGAGUCUGACGGUACCGGGUGAGGAAGCCCCGGUUAACUCUGUGCCAGCAGCCGCGGUAAUAAGGU
rnacentral:rRNA from 1 species